rnacentral:tmRNA from 1 species
GGGGCUGACCCGGUUUCGACGUGGGUUACAAAACAGAUCAGUGCAUACCGAGGCUUCUAGGUACCUCGUUAAUAAACUAGAAAAACAGUAAUCGCAAAUGACGAUAACUACGCUUUAGCUGCUUAAUUCCAGCUAAACG